rnacentral:rRNA from 1 species
AUGGUGACUCGUAUUACANUUGNCUGGCACGUCGUUUCACUGCCCCACAGUGGGGGAUAACCCGGGGAAACCCGGGCUAAUACCGCAUACACCCGAGAGGGGAAAGCCGAAAGGCGCUGUGGGAUAGGGCUGCGGCGUAUCAGGUAGUUGGUGGGGUAACGGCCUACCAAGCCGAUGACGCGUAGCUGGUCUGAGAGGAUGAUCAGCCACACUGGAACUGAGACACGGUCCAGACUCCUACGGGAGGCAGCAGUGGGGAAUCUUGGGCAAUGGGGGAAACCCUGACCCAGCAACGCCGCGUGGAGGAAGACGCCCUUCGGGGUGUAAACUCCUUUUGCAGGGGAAGAGAGAGACGGUACCCUGCGAAUAAGCUCCGGCUAACUCCGUGCCAGCAGCCGCGGUAAUACGGGGGGAGCUAGCGUUACUCGGAAUCACUGGGCGUAAAGGGUGCGUAGGCGGCUUAGUAAGUUGGGAGUGAAAUCCCACGGCUCAACCGUGGAACUGCUUCCAAAACUGCUAAGCU